rnacentral:ncRNA from 1 species
UAUAAUACGAUGAAAGAGCUAAUUUUAACGUUUAUGUGGUAGAGAGUCUGUGGUAGGUGAAAACAGAUCAUAUAGUUAGAAGUUCCACUCUGGAGUGAUGCUAAAAACAUCCGAGUUAUUCACGUUAAGAAUGUAUGAGCGCUAUUGUUUAUAUACAAUAGAAUUAAGGUGGCACCGCGAUAAUCAAUGGAUCGUCCUUAGA